AGGAAUGCUGCUGAGGAUCAUCCUGUCUGUUGGGUUCAAUUUCAACAGGCUUUUCCCUGAUGUGAAUGCCUCUGGAAAUCCUGCCUACCCCCAUGUUCCAGCUACCAAAGCAUCACCAGGGUUCAGAGUGCUCUCACCAACUGCGGUCUCACUGUGAUGGGAAACACAUGGGAAGGGGUGAGAGAAUGCAGCAUGAGCUCCUGCCUGGUGAUAUAAUGGCUGGAGCACUUGCUGCUGCCCCUGGCACUUCCGUGGCAUCCACCUGGGCAGCUGAGAGGAGAGGAUUGGUUCAGCUAUGGCCAUGUCUCUUUUGAGAGGGAAAGCCAGGUUGGGAAAUGGGGAACAAAAGGACAGUGGGGCUGGCAGAGAGAGCUGAGGAGCUCACAGUACCACUCCCAGCAGCUCAUGUGGGCAUUGCCUCCUGUGCCAAGCCUUGCAAUCCCUUUUGUGUCCCUGCUCUGCAAUUAGUGCUCAGCACUGACACUGCUUUGGGCCCUGCUCUCCUUUCACAACAGCUGCUAUUGUGUAGGGGCAAGCU